CGCCUUCAUCUAGCUCAACUCUUGGAUCACAUCAUCCCCUCCUUCUUCAAAACGAUUCGUUCUCGAAUCUGCACCUGUAUCGAAAAGGAAAAGAUCAGCCGAUACAUUAUACUCACCUGGUAAGUCCACUUUGUAGGCAUUAUCGUUGUUCUUCUCGGUGAUUUGGAAAGGACCAUCUCUCCGCGGUUGCAAUUUAGACUUUUGCUGCUUCGAAAAACGUUCCUUCUUG
rnacentral:lncRNA from 1 species